GGGGAAGUAGCUCAGUCUGGUAGAGCACCGUAUUACUCUCCGCCGAUGGCACCGAGAGUUCCUUAACAGGCCUCUUAAGCCGGUGGUCGCAGGUUCAAAUCCUGCCUUCCCCG
rnacentral:tRNA from 1 species